GCACCUGGCGGAGAGGUGAGAACGCAACCUGCCACGGCCGCACGAUUUCAGUCAAGCGAAGACCACCGCCGGUGUUAGAGGGAGGAUAUCCGAGCGGAAUGCGGUGUCUGCGUAGUCGGAAGCUGUGCUAUUGAAGGGGGGCAAUAUUCAACGUGAGUGAGAGGGCCUGAUGUAAGACUGCUUGAGUGAAGAGAACCUGACAUGUCUGCUCUGCUAAGGUGGUGCCAACUUCAGUAACCCUUCAACUAGUGCUAAAGGAGAGAAAUAAAUUGGAAAGUUUCAUUUUCAUUUCACUCAUGCAUUCUAUGUAUAUACAUACAUACAUUAUAAGGCAGUAACAUUUUCAUUUCUCGUGCAGUCUCGUCCUUUCAUUUUUCUUAUGCAGCAUAACCAAUGGUUGUCAUGAACUGUUAAAAUUAAAACAAAUUAAUGAGACUUGUUUAGACAUUUAUCUAAAACUUGUUUGGACAUUUAUCUAUUUAGGUUGUGACAACCAAGUGGACAUUUAUCUAUCUAGACAACCAAGAUAGACAACCAGGUUAAAGACAACCAGGUUAAAUAUGUUAAGAUCAUAAGAUUUCUUAGUUUGUUUGGACAUUUAUUAUCUAAUAAUGACAGGUCAUUGUUUUGUUGAUUGAUUAACCAAAUGAUUUGUAAUACACAGAUCAUAAAAAUAUAAAGAAAGGAAUUGUGAAUUGUGUG